GUCUCUGGCCACGCUGCCCUAAACACACCCGAUCCCGUCUGAUCUCGGAAGCUAAGCAGGGUCAGGCCUGGUUAGUGCUUGGAUGGGAGACCACCAGGAAGACCAGGUGCUGUAGGCG
rnacentral:rRNA from 1 species